AAAUUGUUAAAAGGGAAGCGCUUGUGACCAGACUUGCGCCGGGCAGCUCAUCAGGGGUUCUCCCCUGUGCACUCUGCCCGGCUCAGGCCAGCAUCGGUUCUCGUGGGAGGAUAAGAACAGUAGGAAUGUGGCCCCCUCUCGGGGGGGUGUUAUAGCCUAUUGUACGAUACUCUCGUGGGGACCGAGGUUCGCGCUCCGCAAGGAUGCUGGCGUAAUGGUCAUCAGCGACCCGUCUUGAAACACGGACCAAGGAGUCGUCCAUUAGAGCGAGCGUGUUGGGUGUAAAACCCGCACGCGUAAUGAAAGUGAACGCAGGUGAGAGCUUCGGCGCAUCAUCGACCGAUCCUGAUGUCUUCGGAUGGGAUUUGAGUAAGAGUUUUAACGGACGGACCCGAAAGACAGUGAACUAUGCUUGUAUUAGGGUGAAGCCAGAGGAAACUCUGGUGGAGGCUCGCAGCGGUUCUGACGUGCAAAUCGAU
rnacentral:rRNA from 1 species